ACAAAAUUGAUAAAUGGUUUAAAUGUGAACAACAUUUUUUUCUUUACGUUUACUUCUUCUAUAUAAAUAAAUAGAUGCAACACUUUGAUAAGAAAAUUGUGUCAAUACAUAUUGUCUCUUGUUUGUGAAAACAACAUAGAUAUAGGAAAGGGCUUUAUUUUAGGAAAAAUAUUGCGGAGCUAGAUCAAUACAAAGAAAGAGGAUGGUGAGCGGAAAGGUUAUUGUCAUUAUUUUUCUUGCUACAACAUUGCUGAAUUUUAUUUUAUCAACGAACGCACAAUAUUUCUACAAUCCGGCAUAUAUGGCCUCACUGUAUAGAUUAUAUUACUCACAGAUGAUGUAUCGGUCCAUGUAUCCUAUGUAUUUUGGAUAUCCAUUUUACCGUGGAGACUGAGACAUGGAAUCGGGAGAUUAUAUAGAAGAUUGCAAGCAUCAUCUCUUCCAUGAAACAUUUUCUAUGAGAAAUAUUUGUGAAUCCAUGUAAUUAUAAAUAAUAAACACAUAACAAAAAACAUCUUAUUAUUUCAUUGGAUAAAGUAGUUCUAUAAUUUGUUGUUUGGAAUGUUUAAUCAUUUAAAUGACGAAUUAAGAAUUAACGUAAAACGAUUUUCCUUUCAUGAUUUUAUUAUGCU